rnacentral:rRNA from 1 species
AUCCAGACUCCUACGGGAGGCAGCAGUGAGGAAUAUUGGUCAAUGGGCGGAAGCCUGAACCAGCCAAGUCGCGUGAGGGAAUAAGGCCCUACGGGUCGUAAACCUCUUUUGCCGGGGAGCAAGGGCGGGGACGUGUCCCGGCCCGGAGAGUACCCGGAGAAAAAGCAUCGGCUAACUCCGUGCCAGCAGCCGCGGUAAUACGGAGGAUGCGAGCGUUAUCCGGAUUUAUUGGGUUUAAAGGGUGCGUAGGCGGAAGGUUAAGUCAGCGGUCAAAUGUCGGUGCUCAACGCCGGCCUGCCGUUGAAACUGGGGAUCUAGAGUGUGCGAGAGGUAUGCGGAAUGCGUGGUGUAGCGGUGAAAUGCAUAGAUAUCACGCAGAACCCCGAUUGCGAAGGCAGCAUACCGGUGCACAACUGACGCUCAGGCACGAAAGCGUGGGUAUCGAACAGGAUUAGAUACCCCGGUAG